rnacentral:rRNA from 1 species
UACGUAGGGUGCAAGCGUUGUUCGGAAUUAUUGGGCGUAAAGAGCUCGUAGGCGGUCUGUCGCGUCUGCUGUGAAAACUCAGGGCUUAACCCUGAGCUUGCAGUGGGUACGGGCAGACUAGAGUGCGGUAGGGGAGACUGGAAUUCCUGGUGUAGCGGUGAAAUGCGCAGAUAUCAGGAAGAACACCAAUGGCGAAGGCAGCUCUCUGGGACGGUACUGACGCUGAGACGCGAAAGCGUGGGGAGCGAACAGG